UACGGAGGGUGCGAGCGUUGUCCGGAAUCAUUGGGCGUAAAGGGCGCGUAGGUGGCGGGACAAGCGUGCGGUGAAAGCUCGGGGCUCAACCCCGAGUCGGCCGUGCGAACUGUUUUGCUUGAGCACUGUAGAGGCAGGCGGAAUUCCGGGUGUAGCGGUGGAAUGCGUAGAGAUCCGGAAGAACACCGGUGGCGAAGGCGGCCUGCUGGGACAUUGCUGACGCUGAGGCGCGACAGCGUGGGGAGCAAACAGG
rnacentral:rRNA from 1 species